rnacentral:snRNA from 1 species
ACGCUUACUGGAAAGAAGAAGUAUAGGGAUCCUGCAGUUGUAUUUUUUGAGCGCGAGUUUUAGUUUUCAUCUUUGGAGGUCAUCCUUGCAAUUCUCCCAAGUAUUGGAAGUUUGCUUGUACAAUCUGUGGUGUAAAGGAACUGUGUUCGUACUUUUCCCUG